CAGUCGCCGCGGGAAUACGUAGGGUGCAAGCGUUAAUCGGAAUUACUGGGCGUAAAGCGUGCGCAGGCGGUUCUAUAAGACAGAUGUGAAAUCCCCGGGCUCAACCUGGGAACUGCAUUUGUGACUGUAGAGCUGGAGUGCGGCAGAGGGGGAUGGAAUUCCGCGUGUAGCAGUGAAAUGCGUAGAUAUGCGGAGGAACACCGAUGGCGAAGGCAAUCCCCUGGGCCUGCACUGACGCUCAUGCACGAAAGCGUGGGGAGCAAACAGGAUUAGAGACCCCCGUAGUCCCUGUCUCUUAUAC
rnacentral:rRNA from 1 species